rnacentral:rRNA from 1 species
GUCGAACGCUGGCGGCGUGCCUAAUACAUGCAAGUCGAACGCAGUGGGGACGGGUGAGUAACACGUGGGUAACCUCCCAUCAGAGGGGAUAACACUUGGCAACAGGUGCUAAACCGAUACUGAUGGAUGGACCCGCGGUGCAUUAGCUAGUGGGUGAGGUAAAGGCUCACCAAGGCCACGAUGCAUAGCGGGCCUGAGAGGGUGAUCGGCCACACUGGAACUGAGACACGGCCCAGACUCCUACGGGAGGCAGCAGUGGGGAAUAUUGGGCAAUGGGCGAAAGCCUGACCGAGCAACGCCGCGUGAGUGAAGAAGGUUUUCGGAUCGUAAAACUCUGUUGGUAGGGAAGCGGUAUCUAACCAGAAAGCAACGGCUAACUACGUGCCAGCAGCCGCGGUAAUAC